rnacentral:lncRNA from 10 species
CUUGAAGUGUGCUCCAUUAUUCAUUGGUAUUUACAAUUAGAAUGCCCUAUUUCCAGAUCUGAUUUUCUUUCUUUUUUUUUUUCAUUUUAACUUGUUACAUUGAAUUAUAUGUCUUCAUUCAAGAAAACAAUCCUACUUUCUCUUUGUUUAGUAACAUUGUUUCAAUUGAUGUCUUAAAUUGCGUUUAUAGAAGCAAUGAUGGCUUGGCUUGGCUUGGUUUGGCUUGGGGUUUCCAAUGUUUUGAAUAGCAUGUAAACAACUUAAACUGCCACUCCAAUCCUAAUCAUUUAAUGGAAUGUGAUCUCUCUCUCUCUCUCUCUUUUUUUUUUCUUUUUUGAGACAGGGUCUCGCUCUGUCAACCAGGCUGGAGUGCAAUAGCGUGAUCUUGGCUCACUGCAACCUCUGCCUUCCAGAUUCAAGCGAUUCUUCUGAGUAGCUGGGAUUACAGGCACCCGUCACCACACCCAGCUGUUUUGUGUGUGUGUGUAUGUGUGUGUGUGCAUGUGUGCUUUUAGUAGAGACGGGGUUUUGCUGUGUUGGCCAGGCUGGUCUCGAUCUACCCACCUCGGCCUCCCCAAAGCGCUGGGACUACAGGCGUGAGCCACCACACCUGGCCAGAAUGUGAUAUAUCUAAAGGAGUUAUUUAUCUAGUUUAUAAAAUCUUGGAAAGAAACAAUCUAUCUUCUGGAGGAGACUCUGAGGUCUGAGCAUAUAAAAUUGUACAGGCUGUGAAGUUACUGCCCUAUGACAUAUAAGAGAGCAUCAUUAUUAGAUUAUGGGUUAGAGGUCCCGAGUUCCUAGUUCAGGCUCUGGAACUAAUUUUCUGAUGACUUUUGGAAAGUUCCUACAUAUUUGCUUCAAAAAUCUUUUUCUAGUUACAGAUAAAAGAGUUGGAAAUAUUUAAGAUAGCAAAUAUACUGCUUGAGGGUUGUUACUUUCCGCCAUCUCCACAUUCAUCUAUAUAGAUAGUUAAACCUGACCCUAUUCAUUCAUUCAUUUAUUAAAACUUGACCAAAACCCUCAUUCUUAAACUUUGUAGUUUUCAACACACGUAUGAACAUAAUUGAAUUGUCAUUUAACAUGAAUAUUACUCCCAGAGCAGAUGGUCUCCAAGCCCUCUUCUAUUUUCCUAGUAUUCUGUGAUCUUGCAUGGAUCCUUCUGUGCAAGAAAUUUUGCAUAACCUCUAAAAGGGAUCCCUUUUGCUUCAGUUCUUGACUAUGUGCCUUGGUUGACUGCCUUUUCCUUAAUGCAGGACACACUUUGCUCAUGAGUACAGUUAAUGAACUAUUAGAACAUUAGUGCCCACACAUUCGUGUGCAUCAGCAUCUGGAGAAACACAGAUUUCUGUACCCCACUUCAGUUGUUGAUCCAGGAGGUCUGGAGUGAGACCCUUGAAUUUGCAAUUCCAACAAGUUUCUUGGUGAUUGUGAUGCUGCUGCUCCAAGGAUAACAUUUUCAGAAACAUUUCUGUCUAAAACAUUACUGAACCUAGAGUUAGUAGAUCUCCAAUCAUCUAUGGAUAGAUUUCAGGGAGAGUAUAAAAAAGAAAAAGAUGGUUUAAACAAUUGCAUUUAUAUUUUACUAAACUACUAUGAAUGUAGGCAACAAACCACAGAAAUAUUAGUUGUACCUGACUUUGUCCCAAUAUAAAUAAGACAUAUUUUCAUAUCAUCCUACAAUGGUUUCAGAUAUCUUGAAAUAUGGUUUAUGCACAUCACCACUCUGACAUAAUAUUGGCUAUUUAUCUGUCAUUAGAUUUGAUUAUGAGUUAUUAUAAAGGCCAUUUCUUAUUAUGUCUCAAUAAAACAUGUUAGUAACUUAUUUUAAUAUAAAUUUUUCUUUUUAAUUUUAUGCAUUUUAUUUUUAACACUGAAAAUAGUAUUCUGAAUAGAAUUUAUAGGCUUCAUCAAUUUGUUAGAAGGGUUCAUGGCGGGAGACAUAAACUCUCUUUCUAAAUGAUGAGAAUAAUAAAGAUGUUAAGGCCAAGUCAUGUGCCAUACACCAGGACCUUCGUGGUUAUGCUCACACCAUCAGAAAACCUGGCAGCCACAGAACUGGAGGUGCUGGGUGAUGUCUCUCUCCUGUCGCCUUCCCAUCUGAGCAGAUGAUGCUUAUAGUAAGAUGCCUCUGAUGUUUCUUUAAGUUUGAUUAUCACUCAGAGUAGCAGCUCUCAAAACAUGGUGGCAGUGGCAAGGUCUCUGCAACCUUUUCAUGGAAUCUCAAAAGACAAGAAAGCACCUGGAUCGAUGCUGAGGCCAAGUAAAUAAGAACAGGAGGAUGCCUCUCCCUGAGCCCUGGCAGAAGCAUUAGACUGAUGGAUUGUGGUCCUUGCUUCAGAGAAGGAUGCCCACUCUUUUGUUAGUUGAAAUAUCUGCUUUGUUCAUUAAUCUGACAAGUGAACAUAGGAGACUUGCUUGAAAACACAUCCAUCUCUUCCUGGACUCUGCAAAGAUACUUUCCUUGGCAAGUGAAAAGUCAAAAGCCUACCUGCAGUGACAUUUGCAUCAUGAGUGACAGUAACAGAUGAAAAUUUAAACCUUCCAUGCACCAUUUGGAAGCAUCAGUGGGAAAGUCUCUAUUCAUUAGUUUGAAGCUGGGGGCUUCCAUAGUACUCUGUUUGCCAGCCAAACUGGGAAUGUAGUUAUUUGGCUAUAUUAGGGCUGUCAACCUAAAUAACAGAGAGAGGUUUCCUAAGAGAAAAGAUGUUCAUUUGGGAAUAGAGUAUUAGAAUAGGGAUAUGCAUGCUGUAGUACACUAUGUGCAUAUCCAAGGAGGUAAAGGAAGACAAAAGUUUUUAAAAGAAAUUAAUGAGA